GACGAACGCUGGCGGCGUGCUUAACACAUGCAAGUCGAACGGUAAGGCCCCAGCUUGCUGGGGUACACGAGUGGCGAACGGGUGAGUAACACGUGGGUGACCUGCCCCGCACUUCGGGAUAAGCCUGGGAAACUGGGUCUAAUACCGGAUAGGACCGCACUGUGAGGGUGUGGUGGAAAGUUUGUCGGUGUGGGAUGGGCCCGCGGCCUAUCAGCUUGUUGGUGGGGUAAUGGCCUAGCAAGGCGGCGACGGGUAGCCGGCCUGAGAGGGUGGACGGCCACAUUGGGACUGAGGCACGGCCCGGACGCCUACGGGAGGCAGCGGUGGGGAAUAUUGCGCGAUGGGCGGAAGCCUUAUGCAGCGACGCCGGGUGGGGGAUGACGGCCUUCGGGGUGUAAAGUCCGUUCACCUUCGACGAAGGUUUUCUGACGGUAGAUGGAGAAAAAGCACCGGCUAACUACGUG
rnacentral:rRNA from 1 species